UGCUUAUGCAAUUUAGCUCUGUUUGAAUUUCCGCGCAGUAACUUGCGUCAAGGAUAGCCAACGUGCAGAUUAAAAGUAUGGUCAUAUUUCAUGGCGUCGUACGAAAUUUGGGCAUACCAGGCCUAUUCGAUAUCAUAAAAUGUUAUUUUAAAAAUACUUUCUGUUCUCAAGUAGAAACUCUGAUGCUAUUUUUUCAAUAAAUGAGGUGAAAUUGCUGAUUACAUGUUGCUACGAUUUUAGGCCAGUAGUUACCAUAACCCAACUUUUGAUCCACGGUCGGACUAGGCGUCUGUUUACAGUACCUUUAUUUUUGUCGCUUUUUAAGUACCUCGUCUAAUUUUCAACAUUUAGAACGUUCCUUUCCGUGCUCGAAUAGCAAAUUAAUGUGUAGAAAUGUUAGCAAAUUGAUUUGAAACAGCAAACUAUGUUAAUUCUCAAAAUCAAAUUUUCACGACCCAUGUGCCUAAAUUCUGCCUUGCGAAUACAGGAUUUGCCUUUGUAUCACUUCUCUUCAACUUCUGCAAUGGCCAAGACUUACCAUAAUAUUUUGGGGGGUCGCAGUUUCGAGUUUGUUUCAAGAAAGAAAACUAGGAGGAAAUUACUUUGCAAGGUGUUGGAAUCCCAAGUGAACUCAACCUAAUUUCCUGCAGCAGUUUUGGAAGGAUAACCAGCUGAAAUUUACCAACGGAUUGUGCGCAGAAUGUACCAGGCCAAACAUAUGUCAUGAAAUGCGGGCAUCAUCAUGUACUACAGCACUGAUCAAGAUUCCACCCCACAGUUGUGCAUGAAUGUUUAGACUUGUUCACUGCUAUUAGUAUGGAAUAAUAAACAUGUGCACAUUA